rnacentral:snoRNA from 7 species
CCCGCCGCUGUAGCUGCCUUGAAUUCAGUGGCUGGUAUAUUCCAGUGGUGAGCUGAGAGCAGCCCCGGCCCAGGAAGCAGUGCUGUUCUGGUUGUGGGGAGGGCUGUGCUGUGGGAAGAGGC